AUUGAACGCUGGCGGCAGGCCUAACACAUGCAAGUCGAGCGGAGCGGCUGACGGGUGAGUAAUGCCUAGGAAUCUGCCUGGUAGUGGGGGAUAGCGUCCGGCAACGGGCGCUAAUAUCGCAUACUAUCAGAUGAGCCUUGGUCGGGUUGGCUAGGUGGUGGGGUAAGGGCUUACCAAGGCGACGAGCCGUAACUGGUAUGAGAGGUUGAUCAGUCACACUGGAAAUGAGAAACGGUCCAGAAUCCUACGGGAGGCAGCAGUGGGGAAUAGUGGACAAUGGGCGAAAGCCUGAUCCCGCCAGGCGGCGUGUGUGAAGAAGGUCUUCGGAUUGUAAAGAACUUUAAGUUGGGAGGCGUUACCAACAGAAGAAGCACCGGCUAACUUCGUGCCAGCAGCCGCGGUAAUAC
rnacentral:rRNA from 1 species